rnacentral:rRNA from 1 species
GAGCGAAGGGCCCUUCGGGGUACCACGAGCGGCGAACGGGUGAGUAACACGUGAGCAACCUGCCCCAGGCUUUGGGAUAACCCCGGGAAACCGGGGCUAAUACCGAAUAUGACCUCCGAUCGCAUGGUCGGUGGUGGAAAGNUUUUUCGNGCUNUNGNGGAUGGGCUCGCGGCCUAUCAGCNUUGUUGGUGGGGUGAUGGCCUACCAAGGCGACGACGGGUAGCCGGCCUGAGAGGGCNGANCCGGCCACACUGGGACUGAGACACGGCCCAGACUCCUACGGGAGGCAGCAGUGGGGAAUAUUGCACAANUGGGCGGAAGCCUGAUGCAGCGACGCCGCGUGAGGGAUGACGGCCUUCGGGUUGUAAACCUCUUUCAGCAGGGACGAAGCGUAAGUGACGGUACCUGCAGAAGAAGCGCCGGNCCAACUACGUGCCAGCAGCCGCGGUAAGACGUAGGGCGCGAGCGUUGUCCGGAUUUAUUGGGCGUAAAGAGCUCGUAGGCGGCUUGUCGCGUCGACCGUGAAAACCUGGGGCUCAACCCCAGGCCUGCGGUCGAUACGGGCAGGCUAGAGUUCGGUAGGGGAGACUGGAAUUCCUGGUGUAGCGGUGAAAUGCGCAGAUAUCAGGAGGAACACCGGUGGCGAAGGCGGGUCUCUGGGCCGAUACUGACGCUGAGGAGCGAAAGCGUGGGGAGCGAACAGGAUUAGAUACCCUGGUAGUCCACGCUGUAAACGUUGGGCGCUAGGUGUGGGGGGCCUCUCCGGUUCCCUGUGCCGCAGCUAACGCAUUAAGCGCCCCGCCUGGGGAGUACGGCCGCAAGGCUAAAACUCAAAGGAANUUGACGGGGGCCCGCACAAGCGGCGGAGCAUGCGGAUUAAUUCGAUGCAACGCGAAGAACCUUACCUGGGUUUGACAUGGCCGCAAAACUGUCAGAGAUGGCAGGUCCUUCGGGGGCGGUCACAGGUGGUGCAUGGCUGUCGUCAGCUCGNUGUCGUGAGANUGUUGGGUUAAGUCCCGCAACGAGCGCAACCCUCGUUCGAUGUUGCCAGCGCGUUAUGGCGGGGACUNCAUCGAAGACUGCCGGGGUCAACUCGGAGGAAGGUGGGGAUGACGUCAAGUCAUCNAUGCCCCUUAUGUCCAGGGCUNUCACGCNAUGCUACAAUGGCCGGUACAAUGGGCUGCGAUACCGUGAGGUGGAGCGAAUCCCAAAAAGCCGGUCNUCAGUUCGGAUNCGGGGUCUGCAACUCGACCCCGUGAAGUCGGAGUCGCUAGUAAUCGCAGAUCAGCAACGCUGCGAUGAAUACGUUCCCGGGCCUUGUACACACCGCCCGUCACGUCACGAAAGUCGGCAACA